AAGACCUUGCGCUUUUGGAGCGGCCGAUGUCUGAUUAGCUAGUUGGUGAGGUAAAGGCUUACCAAGGCUUCGAUCAGUAGCUGGUCUGAGAGGACGACCAGCCACACUGGGACUGAGACACGGCCCAGACUCCUACGGGAGGCAGCAGUGGGGAAUUUUGGACAAUGGGGGCAACCCUGAUCCAGCCAUGCCGCGUGAGUGAAGAAGGCCUUCGGGUUGUAAAGCUCUUUCAGCCGGGACGAAAAGGUUACGGUUAAUACCCGUGACUAAUGACGGUACCGGAAGAAGAAGCACCGGCUAACUACGUGCCAGCAGCCGCGGUAAUACGUAGGGUGCGAGCGUUAAUCGGAAUUACUGGGCGUAAAGCGUGCGCAGGCGGUUUUGUAAGUCAGAUGUGAAAUCCCCGGGCUUAACCUGGGAACU
rnacentral:rRNA from 1 species